rnacentral:tRNA from 1 species
GCCUCUGUAGCUCAGUCGGUAGAGCAACGGACUCAUAUCCCGUAAGUCGUAGGUUCGAUUCCUACCGGAGGCACCA